rnacentral:rRNA from 1 species
UACGGAGGAUCCAAGCGUUAUCCGGAUUUAUUGGGUUUAAAGGGUGCGUAGGCGGUUUAUUAAGUCAGGGGUGAAAGACGGUGGCUCAACCAUCGCAGUGCCCUUGAUACUGAUGAGCUUGAAUACACUUGAGGUAGGCGGAAUGUGACAAGUAGCGGUGAAAUGCAUAGAUAUGUCACAGAACACCAGUUGCGAAGGCAGCUUACUAAGGUGCAAUUGACGCUGAGGCACGAAAGCGUGGGGAGCAAACAGG